rnacentral:rRNA from 1 species
AUUGAACGCUGGCGGCAGGCCUAACACAUGCAAGUCGAGCGGAUGACGGGAGCUUGCUCCUUGAUUCAGCGGCGGACGGGUGAGUAAUGCCUAGGAAUCUGCCUGGUCGUGGGGGACAACGUUUCGAAAGGAACGCUAAUACCGCAUACGUCCUACGGGAGAAAGCAGGGGACCUUCGGGCCUUGCGCUAUCAGAUGAGCCUAGGUCGGAUUAGCUAGUAGGUGAGGUAAUGGCUCACCUAGGCGACGAUCCGUAACUGGUCUGAGAGGAUGAUCAGUCACACUGGAACUGAGACACGGUCCAGACUCCUACGGGAGGCAGCAGUGGGGAAUAUUGGACAAUGGGCGAAAGCCUGAUCCAGCCAUGCCGCGUGUGUGAAGAAGGUCUUCGGAUUGUAAAGCACUUUAAGUUGGGAGGAAGGGUUGUACGUUAAUACCGUGCAAUUUUGACGUUACCAACAGAAUAAGCACCGGCUAACUCUGUGCCAGCCGCCGCGGUAACAC